CGUGUAGGCGGGACUGCAAGUCGGAUGUGAAAUUCCUAGGCUCAACCUGGGCGCUGCAUCUGAAACUGUGGUUCUUGAGUGCUGGAGAGGAAAGCGGAAUUCCUAGUGUAGCGGUGAAAUGCGUAGAUAUUAGGAGGAACACCAGUGGCGAAGGCGGCUUUCUGGACAGUAACUGACGCUGAGGCGCGAAAGCGUGGGGAGCAAACAGGAUUAGAUACCCUGGUAGUCCACGCUGUAAACGAUGGAUACUAGGUGUAGGAGGUAUCGACCCCUUCUGUGCCGGAGUUAACACAAUAAGUAUCCCACCUGGGGAGUACGGCCGCAAGGUUGAA
rnacentral:rRNA from 1 species